rnacentral:rRNA from 1 species
GAUGAACGCUGGCGGCGUGCCUAAUACAUGCAAGUCGAGCGAACAGACGAGGAGCUUGCUCCUCUGACGUUAGCGGCGGACGGGUGAGUAACACGUGGAUAACCUACCUAUAAGACUGGGAUAACUUCGGGAAACCGGAGCUAAUACCGGAUAAUAUAUUGAACCGCAUGGUUCAAUAGUGAAAGACGGUUUUGCUGUCACUUCUAGAUGGAUCCGCGCCGCAUUAGCUAGUUGGUAAGGUAACGGCUUACCAAGGCAACGAUGCGUAGCCGACCUGAGAGAGUGAUCGGCCACACGGGAGCGGAGACACGGUCCAGACUCCUACGGGAGGCAGCAGUAGGGAAUCUGCCGCAAUGGUCGAAAGCCUUACGGAGCAACGCCGCGUGAGUGAUGAAGGUCUUCGGAUCGGAAAACUCUGUUAUUAGGGAAGAACAAAUGUGUAAGUAACUAUGCACGUCUUGACGGUACCUAAUCAGAAAGCCACGGCUAACUACGUG